AUAGACCUAAUACGGAAAAACGUUUUGUUUUCCAUAAACAGUUUCCCAGUGUUGUUCAUUAUCGAACCCUGCCGUCUGCUGUCCCAAACACUCUUGACGUUUCUCUGUGACACUGUGACGUUUAAAGUGAAAAUAUUUUCAUCAUUUGUCAUUUACGAGCAAAAUCAAUUUCUGAGUGCGUCGCUUAUUGUUAUCAGUAAUUUUUUCGCUUUUCCACACAAAAAAUCAAUCAAAUAUUUCGAAAAUGUUGGUCAACAAUUUGUUGCGUCCAAUUGCAAACAACCUUCUUAAGGUUCCAAGCCGUUCAACAUCAGCCGUUUGUGGUGCAAGAAGUCGUCAUGUAUCUGUAGCUGAGAAGACCGUUUUAGUUUCAUGUAUGAUGUGCGCCAUCCUCUUCACGCCAGCCUGGGUCUUGUUACAUUUGGACGAAUAUAAAGGAAAGAGCGAAGAAUAAAUAACAUUUCUCUCAAAAAUCAACAAUUCGAUGGAUGUUUUGCCGUAGUAAAAGAAACUUUAUUUAGAAAGUGAAAAAAAUUGUUCAGAAAAAAUUAACAUCCAAUAAAUAGUAUAAAAUGUA